AUGCAGGGCAUUCCAGUAAAUAUUACUGUAGGUUCUCAUGUGUGGAUCGAGGAUCCAUCAGUUGCUUGGAUUGAUGGACAAGUAUCGGAGGUUAAUGGACAGGAAAUUCAGGUUCAGACAUCUGAUGGGAGGACGGUUGUAGCAAAUUUAUCAAAAACUUACCCCAAGGAUGAAGAUGCUCCUGAUGGAGGAGUUGAUGACAUGACUGAACUUUCAUAUUUGCAUGAGCCUGGAGUCUUACAUAAUUUGGCAACAAGAUAUCAACUCCACGAAAUCUAUACUUAUACUGGAAGUAUUCUUAUAGCAAUUAAUCCGUUUCAAAAACUGCCUCAUUUAUAUGACGGCCACAUGAUGGAAAAAUAUAAAGGAGUACCACUUGGUAAACUAAGUCCUCAUGUCUUUGCUAUUGCUGAUGCUGCUUACAGGGCAAUGAUCAAUGAGGGUAAAAGCAAUUCUAUAUUGGUUAGUGGAGAAAGUGGUGCUGGUAAGACUGAAACUACUAAAAUGCUUAUGCGCUAUCUUGCCUAUUUGGGCGGCCAUAAAGGCACUCAAAGGCGGACUGUGGAACAGCAAGUACUGGAGUCAAAUCCAGUACUUGAAGCAUUUGGCAAUGCCAAAACAGUUAGAAAUAACAAUUCAAGCCGUUUCGGUAAGUUUGUGGAGAUUCAGUUUGACAAGAAUGGAAGAAUAUCUGGUGCAGCUAUUAGAACUUAUCUGCUUGAAAGAUCUCGAGUUUGCCAAGUUUCAGACCCUGAACGGAACUAUCAUUGUUUCUACCUUCUCUGUGCAGCACCACAGGAGGAGAUCAAAAGGUAUAAGUUGGGGGAUCCCAAAUCAUUUCACUAUCUCAAUCAAUCAAAUUGCUAUGAACUAGUAGGCGUUAGUGAUGCUCAUGACUAUCUUGAGAUAAGGAGAGCAAUGGAUAUCGUUGGAAUUAGCGAGAAAGAGCAGGAGGCAAUUUUUAGAGUUGUGGCUUCUGUUCUUCAUCUUGGUAAUAUAGAAUUUGCAAAAGGCAAUGAAACUGACUCAUCUGUUCUGAAAGAUGACAAAUCUAGGUUUCAUCUUCAAACUACUGCAGAGCUUCUGAUGUGUGAUGUUACUUUAUUGGAGGAUGCCCUACUGAGACGUGUAAUGGUCACUCCUGAAGAAGUUAUAAAGAGAAGUCUUGAUCCUGAAGCUGCAGCAGUAAGCAGAGAUGGGUUAGCUAAAACAAUAUAUUCUCGCUUAUUCGACUGGUUGGUGGACAAAAUUAAUAACUCGAUCGGGCAAGAUCCUAACUCCAAAUCUCUAAUUGGUGUUCUUGACAUUUAUGGUUUUGAAAGUUUCAAAAGUAAUAGUUUUGAACAAUUCUGCAUUAAUUAUACAAAUGAGAAGCUGCAGCAACAUUUUAACCAGCACAUGUUCAAGAUGGAGCAGGAGGAAUACUCUAAGGAAGAGAUAAAUUGGAGCUAUAUAGAAUUUGUGGACAACCAGGAUGUCCUAGAUCUUAUUGAAAAGAAACCUGGAGGUAUCAUUGCUCUUCUUGAUGAAGCCUGUAUGUUCCCCAAGUCAACUCACGAAACAUUCUCACAAAAGCUUUAUCAGAUAUUCAAGGCCAACAAACGCUUUAUCAAACCAAAAUUGUCCCGCACUGAUUUUACCAUUGCUCAUUAUGCUGGAGAGGUUCAAUAUCAAUCUGAUCAAUUUUUGGAUAAGAACAAAGACUAUGUUGUUCCUGAACAUCAGGAUUUGUUAAGUGCUUCUAAAUGCCCAUUUGUUGUGGGCCUUUUCCCUCCUGUUGCUGAGGAGUCAACUAAAUCUUCAUCCAAAUCAUCCAAGUUCUCAUCCAUUGGUUCUCGUUUCAAGUUACAACUCCAAUCAUUGAUGGAAACCCUGAAUUCUACAGAACCUCAUUACAUCAGAUGUGUGAAGCCUAACAGUCUUUUGAAACCUGCAAUAUUUGAGAAUGUUAACAUUAUGCAGCAGCUACGUUGUGGUGGUGUUCUAGAGGCAAUUCGAAUUAGUUGUGCUGGCUAUCCUACGCAUAAGACAUUUUCUGAGUUUCUGAAUCGAUUUGGUCUUCUUGCUCAGGAGGUCUUGGAAGAGCACGUUGAUGAAAAAGUUGCAUGCGAAAAGAUAUUAGAAAAGACAGGGCUUGCUGGUUAUCAGAUUGGAAAAACAAAGGUUUUUCUGAGAGCAGGGCAGAUGGCCGAGCUAGAUGCACACAGAGCUAUAAAGCUAACCUCUGCAGUUAAGACAAUACAAAGGGAAACUAGAUCUCAUAUUGCACGGAAAAAUUAUGUUUCUUUGCAGAAGGCUGCAAUUUGCUUACAAUCCUUAUGUCGAGCAAGGUUUGCUUUCAAAUUGUAUGUCACCAUGAAAAGAGAGGCUGCUUCUCUCAGAAUCCAGACAAAGUUCCGUGGACACUUGGCCAGAAAAUCCUACACAAAACUUAAAUGUUCAGUCAUCACUCUUCAGACUGGAAUUCGAGUGGCAGCUGCACGAGAGAAGUUCAGAUAUAAAAAACAAACCAGGGCAGCAAUUAUUAUACAGGCCCAUGAGCGUCGUCACAAAGUCUUUUCAUACUAUAAGAAACUCAUAUGGGCAUCAAUUCUAGCACAAUGCAGAUGGAGGGGAAGAGUUGCAAGGAGGGAGCUUCGGAAACUAAAGAUGGCUUCAAGAGAAACAGGCGCACUGAAAGAGGCAAAGGUUAAGCUUGAAAAACAGGUUGAAGAACUUAAAUUGCAGUUGCAGUUGGAGAAACGUCUAAGGAUGGACUUGGAAGAGGCAAAGGACCAGGAAAUAGCAAAAUUGCAGAAUUCAUUGCGGGGCAUGCAAAGCAAACAGAAUGAAACAAAUACAUUGCCCAAGGAACAUGAGGCUGCUCAAAAAGCUAUUGAAGGAGACUCUUCAACAGUUGAAAAGAAAACGGUCCCAGUUGAGCAUGCGGAAACAGUUGAAGCUUUAACUGCAGAAGUGGAAAACUUAAAGGUGUUAUUUAAAAAAGAAAAGCAACGUGCUGAUGAUUCUGAAAGGAAAUGUGCUGAAGCUCAGGAAUCAAGUAAAGAGAAGUGCCGGAAGUUAGAAGAGACCGAAAGAAAAGUUCAACAACUCCAGGACUCGCUUAACAGGAUGAUUUACAGCAUAUCAGACCAAUUCUCAGAGCUGAAAAAGGUAUUACGUCCCUCCUCCAGCCAGAGUUCAGCUUCAGGACUCAUUUCUAGAGGUUACCCAGAUGAUGCUACAUCUGCUUCAGCUGAUGCUACGUCUGCUGACUCUGACUUCACAUUUCAAGCUCCUGGUUCAACUCCGCCACAUUUAUCUUCCCCCAAUCCUCAUGCUUUCCAGCUUAUAGUUCAGGAUCUUGCAGCAGCUGAAAUCUCAGGUUCUGGAAACUGGGAAAAUGACCGGGAGGGGGUAUUCGAUGACUUCUUCUGAUGGAAAUUGCUCUUCAAUUUGUUGUGUCUCUCUAUACACACUACAGAGAUGCUAGCACUUUACUAGAUGAAUAGCCUACUUGAGCUUAUACUAGGCAUCUCAACCAGAUCUUGACAACUACUCUGUACAGUAGAAUCCCAGACAGUUAAUGUUCAGGUACAGUUUCUCAAGCAAAGGUUUCAUUCCAGUAUUAAGAUUUUUCUAUAAACUUCUUUUGUAUGUCCUGAAUAUAUGUGUGAAUGACUAGGUAACUGAAGUACAAUAGUCAAUUGAAUGUAGACUUGCAAGAGCUGUCGAUCCACCUUUAAGACAUCUUUAGUGCUCUCCAUGAGUUAGAGCCACUCCAUCUGUAUGCAAAGCCCUUGAAUACCCUGUGAGUGCAUUACUCCAACUUUUCAUUUGCUCCUUCUGCUUUUUUCUGAAAUCUUCACUGAAUAAAGACUCUACACCCCUCCCCAUCAGUACCAGUGGUGGGCACUGCAUAUAGCAGCAUUGUCUCAUUAUCUUGUCUCAAGUUUUCAUCCUUUGUCACUUAAAACCUUCUCUAAGAUAGUUGUGCUUCAGCCAACUCCCAUUUGUAGGCUAUCUUGUCUAUGUUCCUAUCAUUUUCUUCCUACUCUGUUUUUAUCCCCUUCUCUAACUAGGUCUCCUGAUGGUCUCCAAUAAAAAAUUGUCAAUGGACCAAGAUCAUGUCUGUUAUUGAUAUCCAUCUUGGAAUAGUUGAACAUUGCGGGAUUUACUUUAUUAAAGUACUUGUCCUUUUUCAAUAGGCUUGACGAAAAGCUGACCAACUUAGAUUCGGAAAAAAAAAAUCUAUGUCAGCUGGCUCUGUCAAUUGCUCAAAAUAUGAGAUGCUGUUACUCCAGAUCAAGGAUUCAGGUAAUCCUGGGCAAAAUGUUCCACUUGGACAAUAGAGUCUUUAUCUUUCAUACUGUUUACGCAUUUAUGUGAGAUUGACUGAGGACUUGAAGCAGAAACUGAAACAUAGUUAGUCAAAGGCUUGCAGAUUAGUUGCCCUUCAAGUAUUUUGCUUACCUCUUCUAUCGGUUGAUUAAGAGCUGGAAUUUGUAAUAGGAUCUGGCAUAUCACAUCAUUGAAUUAAAGCGUCAAUUCAGAGGUUGAGUGAAGACCACAAAAAUAACUUAAUGAGAAAAAACAAGAGUGCCAACACUAAUGUAUUGCACUGCACCUUGACUUCUUCAAGGAAAGAGCUGUUGCUGCUUGCAUUAUCUACAAGUGCCUUAAGCGCAGUGGCGGCCAUUUGAAGUUGAUUGGACCAGUAUCUUUGACAGCAUAAUACAAUGGAUAGGCAAGCUAUUGAGGUAAAAGGUACACAACAACAACAACCACCACCA